UGGUGAGUUUGGUGAAGAAAAGAGAAAAAAUGAGUGACACACAAGAAAAUUAAGGAUCUUUUCUAGCUUUAUAUAAACUCCAGUGAUCAUGAUUCUGUCUAGUAGGACAAGUUUUUGGCAAUGGCUGACCUUUGUGAAAUUGAUGAUCUUGCUUCUGCUAGGAUGUUCCUGAAAACCAGCUUAGAUAAUUCAAGAGCUCUCUCCUCUGCUCUACACAAAACUGGCCAAAGAUUGGAGAAGAUAAACCAAAGUUUGCCUUCCCUGAUGGAAUCUGCUGCUCCACUUUGCAAAUUUUGUGCAAUCAAAGACCAGAUUGAUCGUGCCAUUGUCCCUGCCAUGGCAGUAAUAAACGUCUGCAAUGCCAUUCAGGAGCUUGAAAGGUCAAUUCUGUCAUACCAUCCAGGCUCUGAUCUUUCUGCUUAUCUCUUGCUGGUUACAAAACUUGAACAAGCAUUAAAAUUUCUGGCUAGUAACUGUGGGCUAGCAAUUCAAUGGUUAGAGGGUAUUCUACAAUUUCUUGAAGAUAAUGUGGUUUCCAAUGAUUUUUAUUCCUUCAAAGUUAAUAUGUGUUUAAGUAUUCUGCAAAAGUUGCAAGGAACUGAAGAACAAGCUCGGCUCGGCAGAGGAAUUCUCUGUGCUGCAUUUUUUAAACUUGAAAUCGAAUUCAAGCAGCUUCUUGCAGAAAAUUGCAGUCCUGCUGCUUUCCCUUUUUUCAUUGGAAAACAAGCCUGUAUUGCUCCAUCACCCUUGCCUGCGGCUGUUAUGCAGAAGCUUCAGGCCAUUAUUGGCAGACUAAAUGGCAGCAACAGGAUUGAGAAAUGCGUAUCAGCUUUCGUGCAAGUUCGGAGUAUGAAUGCAAGAAGAAGUUUAGAAGCUCUUGAUUUGAAUUACCUUGAGAAGUCAGUAACAGAAUUUGAUGAUGUGCAGGAGAUAGAGGGCUUCAUAAAUCAAUGGUGCAAUCAUAUGGGGUCUGCUGUGAAGCAUGUUUAUGAAGUUGAAUACAUGCUCUGCAAUGAGGUUUUCGAAGAGAUUGGAUCAGAUAUUGGGAUGUAUUGUUUUGCUAAGAUUGCUACACAAUCUGGGAUUCUUUCUUUCCUCCAAUUUGGAGCAAGAGUUACAGAAUGCAAGAAAGAUCCUGUCAAGCUCUUGAAGCUAUUAGACAUGUUUGAGUGUCUUGAAAACUUGAGAGCAGAUUUCAACCGGCUUUUCAGAGGCAAAAACUGUGCCGAAAUCCAAAAGCAGACAAGGGAUCUCAUCAGGAAAGUUGUUUGUGGUGCUUGUGAGAUUUUCUGGGAAUUUCCAUUUCAAGUGGAGCAUGAAAGGGGAAGUUCUUCUCCUUCAGAUGGAAGUGUUCCAAGGCUAGUAAGCUUUGUAACGGACUACUGUAAUCUCCUUCUAGGAGAGGAUUACAAGCCAUUAUUGAUCAAGGUUCUAACAAUUCAUCAAAUCUGGAAAAAUGAAGAGUACAAAGAGACACUUGUUACAAACCAGAUACACUGCAUAAUAAAGGAAAUUGGUUUAAACUUAGAUACAUGGUCGAAAGCCUACGACGAUACAGCACUCUCCUACCUUUUCAUGAUGAAUAACCAUUUUCAUUUCUGCAAUUUGAAAGGAACAAAAGUUGGAGAAUUGAUGGGUGAUUCAUGGUUCAAAGGUCAUGAGCAGUACAAGGACUAUUUCAUGACACUUUACUUGAGAGAAACAUGGGGAAAGAUUGUUGCUCUUCUUAGCCAAGAUGAAGAAGGUUCACCUAAAAGUGAUUCUGUGAAGAAGAGACUCAAGGAGUUCAAUCAAGCAUUGGAUGAAAUGUAUGAGAAGCAAUCUAAAUGGGCUGUCCCAAGUGAGAAGCUGAGGUUAAAGAUGUGCAGGGUGGCUGUCCAGGCUUUUGUGCCUGUUUACAAGAGCUACUUGCAGAAUAUUAGCCUUUUAGAACAAGAAGGUAUGAAAUAUACAGCACAAGGAUUGGAAAGUAUGCUUAGCUCUCUGUUUCAGCCAAAGAUUAGAAUGUAUGGCACCAACAAACAAGCCCAUUGGAUUGAUGAAGUGAAAAAUAUAGAGAAAAAUCACUUUCAUCACUUGACUCUUAUGGCUGUGUAACUCUUUCUAUAUCCAUUUAUUGAUUUUUAGAAAUUCAAAUCAAUUGCAUCAAUUAUGAAUUCCAACUUGGCUUCUGAUGAGUUCAAG
rnacentral:misc_RNA from 1 species